UGACGUUAGCGGCGGACGGGUGAGUAACACGUGGAUAACCUACCUAUAAGACUGGGAUAACUUCGGGAAACCGGAGCUAAUACCGGAUAACAUAUUGAACCGCAUGGUUCAAUAGUGAAAGGCGGCUUUGCUGUCACUUAUAGAUGGAUCCGCGCCGUAUUAGCUAGUUGGUAAGGUGACGGCUUACCAAGGCAACGAUACGUAGCCGACCUGAGAGGGUGAUCGGCCACACUGGAACUGAGACACGGUCCAGACUCCUACGGGAGGCAGCAGUAGGGAAUCUUCCGCAAUGGGCGAAAGCCUGACGGAGCAACGCCGCGUGAGUGAUGAAGGUCUUCGGAUCGUAAAACUCUGUUAUCAGGGAAGAACAAAUGUGUAAGUAACUGUGCACAUCUUGACGGUACCUGAUCAGAAAGCCACGGCUAACUACGUGCCAGCAGCCGCGGUAAUACGUAGGUGGCAAGCGUUAUCCGGAAUUAUUGGGCGUAAAGCGCGCGUAGGCGGUUUUUUAAGUCUGAUGUGAAAGCCCACGGCUCAACCGUGGAGGGUCAUUGGAAACUGGAAAACUUGAGUGCAGAAGAGGAAAGUGGAAUUCCAUGUGUAGCGGUGAAAUGCGCAGAGAUAUGGAGGAACACCAGUGGCGAAGGCGACUUUCUGGUCUGUAACUGACGCUGAUGUGCGAAAGCGUGGGGAUCAAACAGGA
rnacentral:rRNA from 1 species